rnacentral:lncRNA from 1 species
GUAUUUGAACUCUGAUAGUGAUACUAUAUUAAAUUUUAAUUUAUUAUGGAUUUCUAACUUAAUAUUAAUGGAUUUAGUAGAUUAACCGUAACUCUUUAUAUAUUAUUUAAGAUUUCUUUGAAUUAUCGAUUUGAGAUACUUAUCCCUGAUAAAAUCAAAACCAAAUUCCAGAAAAAACUUGCUUGUACCGUAAUUCAUAUAUACACAUGAUGUAUACAUGUCGUAGAACUACCUAAUCGUGAUGCAAAAGAAAUAUGUUUCGAGUGGCGCGAGAAGAAACCUCGUAAUAUCGUAGUGUAGUUAAUUGAGUGAAGUGGUUUUUAUGAAAAGAAUAGAACUUGAAAAGAAUAUGUUUGGGUGUAUUCGACAGAUUGCAUUUUUAAUUACAAAAACGUUUUAACUAGGAACCGAAAAACAGACAUAGGGGGCUACGUGGGUGUAUCUGCCAUGUAGAAAAUCGAAGCGCAUGCACUAAGUUGGACUCAUGAUGAGACCUCACAUGCUCUUUCAUUUAGUUUUACUCUCUUUCUCUCUCCGUAUUAUUAUUAAAUUGCGUAUAUUUAAUUUUUUUUUUUUAAUAUUUGCCCACCGUAUAUUAAUACGUAGGCUGUAGUUAUAAGAAGUUAGCCGUUUGCCCAGACAUUGAUUCUGUACAAAUAGUUACUGUACCCAAUCGAGACUAUUACAGAACCAAGCACAGAUUGUACUGAACAAUGCCACACUUGUCUUUUCCUUUUCUUGACUUUCUUGAAAACGAAAACGAUGAAAACUAAAUCGAAUUCGUACCUAAUGACUGAAAAUAUAUUUUGACAUGAAGUCCUAUCAAACUAGUUAAGCCAGAAACAAUAAUAACACUCCUGUUUUUUAUAUCCCAUAAAAGAAAUUAAGAAAUUAAUAUUUUUAGCAGAAUUAAUUACUUUUAUUUAAAUAAAGACCUUUCACGCUUCUCACAAGCUCAAUGACAUUCCACACAAUGUUUUUUUUUUUUUUUUUGAAAAAACAUUCCACACAAUGUUCCUCAUGCAACAAUCGAAACAUCAUCAACUUAGUGCAUACAGAUAUCUUCGUACAUACACACACAUGAUGAUAACAUUGUACAUAGUACAUAUAUCAGCAUCACCAUCAUGAUGGAUCAUAGCGAGAAAUAACCAUGUUAUGUCCUUCUCACAUAGAUAAAGACCCGUUUCGUCAAAUAUCCGUUCUCUUCUGACAACAAUUUCAUUUUUUUUGUUUCUCGAAUAAUAAUAUAAAAAAAACAAAGAUUGGCCUGUCUCUCUGCCUGCUCAUUUAGUUAAUU